rnacentral:rRNA from 1 species
UACGGGGGGAGCAAGCGUUGUUCGGAUUUACUGGGCGUAAAGGGCGCGUAGGCGGUCAGCACAAGUCAGUUGUGAAAUCUCCGGGCUUAACUCGGAAAGGUCAACUGAUACUGUGCGACUAGAGUGCGGAAGGGGCAACUGGAAUUCUCGGUGUAGCGGUGAAAUGCGUAGAUAUCGAGAGGAACACCUGCGGCGAAGGCGGGUUGCUGGGCCGACACUGACGCUGAGGCGCGAAAGCGUGGGGAGCGAACAGG